CAAACACCACGACAAACACCACGGAUACAGAAAACAAUGGGAAGGAAAGAAGAUCCAAGAACGAAAUAUUGCUUAUUUCAGUCCUCAUGCCAUGUAUACUUGUGCCAAUGAUAGCCGUCAUCAUAUACACCUGCUACAAAGUAAGAGAUCGACCGAAACCUAGGCCACUGCCGCCACCAGACAUGGUAGAAAGAAUGUAUCUAGAAGCUCAGAGGAAUGCAACUUUGCGCUCCCAGUCUAUUUUCAACUCGACAGAACAUAUAGUGACAAGCGCGAUAUAAAUCUUCCGGAACUGACUUUUAUUUGGAUGCUGUGGUACUUACCGUGAAUAAACAUAACAUACGCGGACUAUCGACUUUAUGACUGAUACUCGAAGAAUAUCGCUACUUUCCAAGAAUGAAAAACAACCAUUCUGAAGACAGGACUUCAUUUCGCAACACUGUACAAUUCAAUUAUUUUAAAAACUUUCUCAAAGAAAAUAUAAGAAUCUCAAAAAGGAAACUUUAAAGUUUUACACCAAACAUUACAGAUACCAAUUGACCAUAUUUGCUGCUUUAUAAGACGCAUCUUUUAUAUUUUUAACUGUAACAAAAAAACUGCCAUGCGUCUGAUGCGACCGUAUUACGGAUGGGAGACCAAAUGCCGAAGGCCAGCAGGCUGGACGACCAUGAGUUUGCUAUAAUUGUUACUGAUGGCAAAAUAUAGAAAACAAGACAAAAUAUAGCAGUCUGUUGGCAUAAAUUUACCAAAAUUGGUUUUGCUGCUUUGGUAGUCAUGUGGGAAGGUUACAUCGUCAGAUUGUGCCUCCUUCCUCUGUAUACAGGUUCCAAUCCUGAUAUAUAUAUCUUACAUUAUUUAAUGAGUGUUGUUACAUUUGAGAAACUUUUUCUCAUUAUUUAAAUAAGUGAUUCUCAUCCGGGGUCCAUAAUGACCCUUGGUAGGAGGUGGGAGGUCCACAUAAGAUUUUUUUAAAAUUUAUCUGGAAUAAGCUGGUUAUAUAUUUCUACAUACACAAAAUAUUUGAACAUUAUUUUUUAUACAAUUCUUAAUAAUAUUGAGAAGUCCGACUGAGAAAUGUUGAGUGUAUUUAAAAUUAAAUAUCAUUUUUUUUUAAAAAA